CUUUUGUUUACUCUGAGUUCCAAACACACGCAUACACAAACACGACCACUGCACAAACACCCCUAUAUUCCACUCAAGCCACCACAGUCAUGACCGCAACCCUUCUGAGUUCUGACUUCUUCAGUUCAGUGGGAACACUUUGGAAUGGAGAAGGACCAGAUGCCAAAGCACUUGAGGAGAGCAUGGAGACUUCUUCCAAUUUGCUUCAUAGAUUCCUUUUGCUUUCACAGGGAAGUAUGUUUGGGAUCUCAUGUUUAUGAACGAUUCUUGUAUUUGCUACAUUGAAAGGGAGUUCUUACAAAAAGUUAUGUUUAGAUCGAGAAUGUAAUGCAACGUUUCCAAAAGAUGAAACCUCCUAUAGGGAACAAGUGUACAUAUUUUUGUUAUUCGUAAAGACCAUUUUGUAAAUUUAUCAUGAUGAUGUUUUUUUAAUAAUUGUAUCGUAUUGUUAUUAUGUGAUGAACUUUACCCGA